rnacentral:rRNA from 1 species
GAUGAACGCUGGCGGCGUGCCUAAUACAUGCAAGUCGAGCGAACGGACGAGAAGCUUGCUUCUCUGAUGUUAGCGGCGGACGGGUGAGUAACACGUGGAUAACCUACCUAUAAGACUGGGAUAACUUCGGGAAACCGGAGCUAAUACCGGAUGAUAUUUUGAACCGCAUGGUUCAAAAGUGAAAGACGGUCUUGCUGUCACUUAUAGAUGGAUCCGCGCUGCAUUAGCUAGUUGGUAAGGUAACGGCUUACCAAGGCAACGAUGCAUAGCCGACCUGAGAGGGGGAGCGGCAACACGGAAAAUGAGAACCGGCAAAGACGCAGAAGGGAGGAAGAAGAAGGGAAUCUUCGGAAGUGGGGAAAAGCAGGAGGGAAAAGCGCGGAGGGGGUGAGAAAGGUGUUGGGAUCGAAAAACUGGUUUAUGAGGGAAAAAAAUAGGUGAAAGUAAUUGUGCAAUUCUGGAGGGAACAAAAGAAAAAAGCCAGGGAAAACAAGGUG